ACCUGCAAAAAAUUCACCUGCAAAAAUUCACCUGCAAAAAAUUCACCUGCAAAAAUUCACCUGCAAAAAUUCAACUGCAAAAAUUCACCUGCAAAAGUGAUGACCUUAAAUGACCCAAGCCAGAGCAAUCAGCACUAGAUCGAGUCGAGCGGCUCUCAGCCAAUUAAAAUACGCUGUUUGAUCACAUGACAUGUUAGCCGGCAGUGUCUCCUAAAAAGAGAGCUGUUUAGAGGUGAGUGAUUAAGUUUUUCUCCUAAAUAGAGAUCAUUACAGAACGCCUAGUCCUACUUAAAAUACCAUUCAUUUUUCUUUUAUUUUAUCAUCUACUCGAACUGAGGAAAACGUUUGACUAACUCAAAGAAAAGUUCCGCGCCUCCCCUGCCUGUCUGCAGAGGCAGUUUUGAAUUCAGGAGCGGCAUGAUGGCAGCGGCAAACCCUGGCGGUUCUCCGGGUUCGUGGCAACCACGGAUGGGAAAAUGUGGAGGUUGCACGGCUGAUGUUUACUGUUCGUGGCACAGGAAGAGGCAGUUUCAUUUCAGGAAUGAGUGUGCACAAUCAAAGAAUAGAGCGACUGUGGAGAGACCUCUGGGUGGCCGUUACAUGCAUUUACUACGAUGUUCUUCACAACCCUGAGGAAGAAGGCCUUCUUGACAUUUCAAAUGCUGCACACCUCUUUUGCUGCCAUUACAUCUUUCUUCCUCGACUAGAGGAUAAUUUUAAUACAUUUUGCAGUGGAUGGGACAACCAUCCACUGCGAACAGAAAACAACAUGAGUCCCCCAACCAGCUGUGGGAAUUGGGUCACAGAUAUUACCCUGUUCCUGUUCCAGAAAACACACAGGUAAAGGUGCACAUUUUUAGUACUCAUUGAUUCUCUUACAGAGAAUGUGAUGAUUUUAUGGAUAAUUAAAGUCAGCCAUAAAUCCACAAACACA